AGUAACGUGACACUAACAACCAUAAAGGCGCCGGGCUCAUAACCCGGAGGUCGCUGGAUCGAAACCAGUUGUAGCUA
rnacentral:tRNA from 1 species